UUUUUUUUUUAAAUUAAGCUCCAAAUUCUAGAAGAUCUUUAGGUUUUAAUAAAAUAGUAUACAUAUUGUUUGAAUUUCUUCAGGGUACUAUUCUAGUCUAUUUUGUCCUUUUCUGUUUUUUGUACUGUUUCUGCUCCGCACAGAAAUCGUGUAUAAAAAACUAUUGAAAUUUCAACGUGUUACCUUUCUCUUCAAUAAAAUGAUGCUUUACCUACGUUAAUUUUACUUCUUUGCAGGAUUAUCAGGAGAUUAUGUUGGCUUCCUUCUACUAGCUUAGUAUUUCUGGGUACUAGGAUUUCCCUACCCAGAUCCUCUGAAAUAGCAAUAUUGGCGAGGUGGCAACCACGUUAAUUAAAUGAUAUUUUUUUGGAGCUUUAUUUUUCAACUUGAUGCAUUUGGAGAGCUGUUUCAUAACAUUUGGACGCAAUACUUGGUUCUAAAUGGCUGAACGUCUACAAUUGAGAGGAUAUCCUUCAGUGCCGGCGACGCUCUUUCAAAGCACGCCAUCCUCAGAAAUGCCUGAUCUCUCCACAAAUGGUUGAAAGUGGAAGUGAAGUGAGAUGAGAGUUUUUAGAGGUUAAUGAACUUUGAGUAGACUCUAAGUUCAACGUCGCAAUCAUGUUUGGCAACAUUUGAAGCAACCACUUUCAUCCCAUCUUUUUGCUUCUUUUUGUCAUUGACUUGGGUACAAGGCACGCUAAAGUGAUUGCCUGUGCAUAUCCUCUUCUUGCUAGAUUUUGUUUUCGGAUCCUAUUACAAAGAAACAAUAAGAAAUCUUGCUGUUUGUUGAUUUUAUUUAUUUAUUUUUUUAA